CCAAUAGCGUAUAUUAAAGUUGUUGCAGUUAAAAAGCUCGUAGUUGAAUUUCGGGAUCAAUAUACUGGUCGUGCCAUUGGUACGUACUAGUAUUUUGGUUUCUCCCUUCUGAUGAAUCAUGAUGUCAUUAAUUUGAUGUCAUGAGGAAUCAGGACUAUUACUUUGAAAAAAUUAGAGUGUUUAAAGCAGGCUCGCGCUUGAAUACAUUAGCAUGGAAUAAUGAAAUAGGACGUUUGAUUCUAUUUUGUUGGUUUCUAGGAUUGACGUAAUGAUUAAUAGGGAUAGUUGGGGGCAUUAGUAUUCAAUUGUCAGAGGUGAAAUUCUUGGAUUUAUUGAAGACUAACUACUGCGAAAGCAUUUGCCAAGGAUGUUUUCAUUAAUCAAGAACGAAAGUUAGGGGAUCGAAGACGAUCAGAUACCGUCGUAGUCUUAACCAUAAACUGUGCCGACUAGGGAUCGGAUGAUGUUAAUUUUUUAAUGACUCAUUCGGCGCCUUACG
rnacentral:rRNA from 1 species